UUCGAGUUUGGUUAGGUUGACACUAUCAGGGAAAGGCAAUCCGAGGCAGAGGAGGGCGGGUCAUGCCGUCGUCAUCCUAGGAAAAAAAUACCGCACACGGGGUGGAACCGCGUAACUAGUAGCAAUUCCUAGCAUAGCAGCGCUUUGGCUAGCAAUGUGACAUCAGGAUUAAAUUAGAGCCUUUCAACGUCGCUGGUUGUGUGUAUAACCGUAUAACUACACAUGGUUACGACUGGGUAGAGCACCUACACACGUUCGCCAGCUCUGUUUCAAUAUAACAAAGCAUUAUGGAUGCAGUGAACGCGUUCAACCUGGAGUUGUUCUCCAUGAUUGACUUGAAGCCUCCAAUAUCCCGUGCUAAGAUGAUGUCUGUAACAAAAUCAGCCAUCAAAGCAAUCAAGCUUUACAAACAUGUUGUCCAGAUAGUUGAAAAGUUUAUUAAAAAGUGCAAGCCAGAAUUAAAGGUCCCUGGUUUGUACGUGGUUGAUUCCAUUGUUCGACAGUCACGGCAUCAGUUUGGUGUUGACAAGGAUGUAUUUGGGCCCAGAUUUUUGAAGAACUUCACAGAUACCUUUCAAAACCUGUACCACUGUCCAGAAGAUGAUAAGAGUAAAAUUGUCCGUGUGCUGAACCUGUGGCAGAAGAAUGGUGUGUUCGACAUGGACAUCAUUCAGCCUCUGAUGGAUAUGGCAAAUGGAGUCAUGGUACCUGCCCCUGCACUGGAAGCUCACACUGACCUGCAGCCAGAGAUGCAGCCUCCUGUCACUAGUGCCUCAGUUGUGCCUGCUGUGCCCCAGCUACCAAAUCCUGACGCUUUAGCUGCCGUGGCACAGCUGUUUCAGUCCCCCCAUGGUCAGGAGCUGCAGAGGAUGCUCCAGAGCUUCCAGCAGGCAGAUAAGACUCUGGCAGCCACCAUCGCAAACAGCAUACCAACCCCCCCUCAGAUGCCUGCGACCCAGCUCAACCUAUACAAUGCACACACAGAAAAGAAAAAUUCUUUAGCUGAGAAACUUCUUGACCGAUUUGACUAUGAUGAUGAACCUGAGGAUAUGACGGCUAGAGAAGGCAGUCUCCAGACACAAGGCAUACCUGAAAAUGUAUUUAACCAGUUUCCUGUUCAGAUGCCCAACAUUGAGAAUGCUCAUCCACAUCCAAUGGGACAGACUGGUGUUAUAGAGCAUGGUGGAGGAUUGAGUCAUGGAGAACAUCAUAUGAUGCCAGAUGGAUACCACUCCACAAAUGAGACAUAUUCACAAUCUCGGGGUAAUUCGAGAGAAGAUUCAGCUAUGCGGCAGGAGGACAGACACAGAGGCUAUAGAUCCAGAUCUGGUUCCAGAUCUCCUUGGAGAAGAAGAUCAAGAUCUUCAUCCCGCUCAAGAAGGUCUAGGCAUCAUUGCUCUCGUUCUAGAUCCAAGGAGCGACGCUGGAGAUCUCGCUCUCGUUCUCGAGACAGGAGUGAACGAGAAAAGGACAGAGAGCGCAGACAGAAAGGCCUUCCCAGUAUAAAGAGCCAGACUCUCAGUGUUUGCAGCACCACACUUUGGGUCGGACAGCUAGACAAGAAAACUCAGCAGUCCGACGUGAUGUCUCUUUUGGAAGAGUUUGGGCAGAUUGAAUCCAUAAAUAUGAUUCCUCCAAGAGGUUGUGCUUAUAUUGUUAUGGUUCACCGACAAGAUGCUAAUACUGCCUUGAACAAACUCAGUAAAGGGUCAUACAGAGUCAAUCAAAAACCUGUUAAGAUUGCUUGGGCUUUGAACAAAGGUAUAAAACCAGCACACAAAAAGUUCUGGGAUGUGGAGCGGGGAGUCACCUACAUCCCCUGGAGCAAAGCCAAAGUUGAAGAGUUGGAGAGCUAUCGGGAAGGGGGUAUGCUAGACGUAGAGACACUAAAUCCAGAGUGGAUUAAAGCCAAGGACCUCAAUGUGCUGCCUGUUGUAAAUGGAGCACUGGAAAGUGUACCAGGAGAUGGAACCAUCACUGCUCACAGUCAGGUAAUGAUAAUACAGUCUUUAAAAAACUUUUUAAUAUUACGCUUUCUGUUAUUGUAUUUGUUCAAUGUCCUUUGUGUUGGACGCCUGCUUCACAAUCGUUCUUCUGGAGGAUGUAAGGAAAAUAAACUCUUGUUGCAUAUGGGUAGUGGAGCUUAUCUGAAACACUCUCAUUUUUUUUAUUUUUAUUUUUUCAACAAAAAUCAAGACACUGCAUCUUUAAUUUAAAGAACCUUAGCCAGAUAAAUGACUAAUUCUUCUAAAUCAAACCUGAAAUAUUUUGAUUGCUCUGUGCGGUGCAGUGUUAGAAAUACUGACUCUCCCAUUCAGUAGGAAAUACUGUGCAAGUCAAGAUGUGCUCAUGGCGCCUUUGUGAGAACUACUUAGCUUUAGAAAGAGUUUGGUCUAGACCUGCUUUAAUUGGAAAGUGUCAUGCGCUGAAUAAAUAAAUUGAAUUUGAGCUUUUAUCAGGACUUGUACCACGGGCCUAAUUGGCCGAAAAAUCUAUUAGGGUGUUAAAAUUAUGUACAGGGACACCUGAAACCUAGCUCCAGCCAAUAGUGAAAUCACUUUUAUAUUGCAAAUUUGUGCUCGGCCUGUGUGAAACCAUAAAGAGCCAUGGUCCUGUUACUGAUGUUGCUGCUCCUGUAUGUUAUCGUAAAUUUUUAAAACGACAUUUCAAACAAAGAUACUCAUAAUUUCCGCUGAAAGAAAGAUUAAAAAAUGAAUGAUAAUUCUCAAUUUUAGCCAUGGUAUGAAUGAGUUGUCAGGGUCAACACCCCGUCCAGUCCAAGAAUACAAAUUAAGAUGGGUUCAUCAUUUCUGUCAUAUUAAAUGCCCGUCAUUGCUGUUGAGGUUGAAAUAUCAACAUAGUUAUUUUUAGUGAUAUUUUAUGAUAAAUUAUGAAUUACAUAGAUUCCACCAGUAGCAGAUAUAUUCAAACCCAUAAUAAAAGCUUAAAAUUGUUGUCCUCCGAAGCUCGAACUAAAACUUGUUGAGAAAGUCUCUCAGCGCGGUCAAACAGCUUGUAAUGGUUACGUUUCUCAGCUUGCUGUCCAAGACUUGUGCUUUUAGCAAAGCUUGUCAGUUAAGAUGUGUGCAUCAGAUUUGGUAAAUUAAAGUAUGUUGGAGCACUAAAUUGAACUGUUUUAUUAAAAGAGAAAUUAUCAUGUUUCUGUCAUAAAUGAAUAUCAGAUUAUGUAUCUUCUAAGAGGGGUGUCAGCAUGUCACUUAUGUCUUCCUUUGCAUAAUUGAGGGCAAAUCUAAUUUAGUGAUUUUUAUCCACUUCACCACAAUUCAGAUAAGCUCCUCUGUUGAUGGGCAUGAAAUUCAUCCAUUUCUCCUUUUCCUUUGAAAAAUAUUUGCAUCUUCACUCAGUAACCCUGUACUGUGCAGUUUAUCGUAUUCAAAUAAAGUGUGGGAUUUACAAAAACUACUGUGGUAUGUGUAGAGGGAAGAAUUCCUGUGAUAAUUUCUCUGUUUAUAGUAACAAAGCUCUCUUACCAAGAAUAUCUCAGUUGGGGAAAAUUGUUUCAAAAAUUUUGAAUCUUCACAUCUGAUCACAAAACGUUUUCCCAACCAUCCACCAUCAGGUCUGCUAGCCUUUAUAUAAUGUGCGUAGCAAUUGCACAUUUUGGUAUCAAAGUCUGCUGAUGCGAUGUGCCACUCAAAACUAUGCAAUAACCGGUGAUGCCGUUGAGUUCAGUUGUGCAUGUGCAGUACUUAACUCUAACACCAAGAGGUAGCAGUGCCUUGCCUGCUGAAAAGCAAAAGAAGAGUUUGACCAAUCAUAUCGCUGGAUUCAUCCCCCUGCCCUCACCCAGACACUAAGCAUGGAUGAUCAUGAUUGACAAAUGCCUUAAGUCAUCUUGAGAGACUGCGAAAAUUUAUUUUAUCUUUCUCGCCCCCCCCUCCUCACUUCAAAUGGGUGUUAUCUCAAGUUAGGACGGCUCUUUUAACUCCUUUGCAAAGGUUAACAGACUUUAAUCCUGACAUGCCAGCCUUGGGAAAAUAUUUAAAGUUAGUAACAUUAGCCUUUUCAAGCUGUCUUGCUUGUUCACAAGGCGUUUAAAUUUGCAAAAUAACAUCAAGUUAUACUGUGUUUUGCAGUUUGUUAAUAUUGAAUUUUGUAAUGAUGAAUUCAAUGCAGAAAUAAUGAUGAUGAAUGAUAAUAACCUAGAAAAUUGUCGAGAGUAUGCAGGCAUGUGUAUGUGUGUGCACAUGCACGAUUCCUCUGGCUCUCAAAAAUGCCACACCAUACAUUUUGCACAUAUAGAAGUAUGAUUUUGACAUCAGGCUGCAAGGUACUAGAGGAAAUAUUGAAGCAGCUGAACCUCAAGUUACAAAUGUGUACCUACAAAAGCUGAUUGAGCUAUUUAAUUAUGAAAUGAAAUUGAAAAUCCUUUACAGAAACUCAUGAUUGAAAGUGUUUUACAUCUCUGUUUUACACUACAGUCAUUUUAUUCACAGCUGAUUUAUGCUGAAUAACUUGAUAUGGCAGUGAGUGGAGAAAUGACCAUGUGAUGUGCAGGGGAAGCAGUGCAAAAGCAUCCGAACUAAGCAUUGCACUACUGGGGAAACCAAAAUAUUCUUCCCAUGGUUGGCAGGUCUGCAGCCAACACAUUUUAAUCAGCGAAUUCAUGGAUCACCUUCUUGGUGAGAAAAUUGCUUAGUAGUUGUAGUGUUUUUGACAAUUCAUGUGAUUAUCUAAUGUGAAGUCAAAAUCUUAAGUUUUUAUUGAUGGUUUUGUUAACAUUCUAAAGCAAAUUAUGACCGAAUGCUGAAUAAACGGUUAACAAAUAGCUUUAAUAAAACAUGAUCGAGUGGACUGUCUGCAACCUACCAUACUUAGCAGGCCUAUUGAACUGCAGACCUCACUGUGAAGAAAGGUUGUUCACAACUAUUGAGGUCAAGAAUAUUUGACUGUUGGCUGCUGGUGGGACUUAAAGGCCCGACUGGAAGGAAGAGUUCCCAAGUGGGAGGCAAGGUAAGCCAACAACACCCUUAUCAAACUAUUCGAAAUGUUGCACUAAACCUGCCAAUUGUUGUUGAAAACUGGACAGGAGAUUUUUGAAUUUGUUUUGGCAAAGGGGAACAUUACCCGUCAAAACAAGAGCAGAGUCAUUGUUCAUUAAGGGGUGAACUUAAAAUCAAAUCACGUCUGCCGUUCCUAAGAGUGUUUCUUUACGAGCUGGAUGAGAUUUUGUACAUGCACUACAGUACAUACAGCAGAUUUCAGUGUGACUUAUCUGUGCUUUUCUUUUUACUGGACAUGGUGCUUGAAUGUGUACUGUUGACCGAAAAAUUAGGGGAAAAAACAAUUCUGCAACAAAACUACUCAAACCACUCAUUCAGCAUAUUGUCUUAGACGUCAGUGUUCUACAAAGAAUAUAGAAUUAUACCGCCCAAGCCUGCUGUUUUAUUUUGAAGAAAAUCUUGUGAAAAUGUAGUGGUCUUUGUACCUAAGACGAGAGAGCACAAAAUAGUCAAAUUUAUAAUUGUGGCAUUUAAUGGAAGGAAGCUGACAAAUUGAAACUUUCAAGACUGCUCUUGAAAUUACCUAAGAUGUUUUUGUGAUGAUAAAUAAAUAUAUAAAUAUCAGCCAAACCGAGGCGUAUACAAAUCUUAAAAUCAUAGUAGACAAAACAAGAUGUACUACAUUUGGGGUUAACCUUGGCUGUGAAAGUUGCUUGAGUUGACCCUUGUUGUUCUUGGCAAAGUGUAAAGUAGGGUUUGUUAGUAAGCUUUGUCAUGUUUGUUCCACGUUGGGCAGCAUGGAGUUAAAGGGACAGAAAUUUGAAUCGCCAUUAAAAGCAAACUCGUAUGUCCAAACACCUGUGCUGUUCUCUACUAUGAAUUUGUGCAGUUCCAGACCUGAAGGGAAAGAACGUUUUUUUGUUUGUUUGUUCUUGCUCUGGAUGUCUGCAAAAAGUGACAUGUUCUGUGAAGGUGCCUUCACAUUUACCCACCUUACCCAGCCAUUUGUUGGUUAUUUUAUACAAAACAAUGUGAAAUAAAAGGCCAUAUCUGGCUAGCUGCAAUACACAACUCGGCAUCUUCAGGGAUUGUUACUUCAGAAGGAUGAGAUGCUGCCACUCUUUUUGAUGUUUGUGUGUAAUUUUUGCUAUUGAGUGUGAUGGGUGGACAGAGAGGCCAUAUUUUUUCUCAAAUUAUCAGUUAUGAGAACCAUUUUCUUGUGGGAAAAUGCUCAUUUGAAAAUGAGUGAUAGUCAAUUUUGGCUGUUUUAAGUGCUCUUUUUUCUAAAGUUCCUCUGAUUCUGUGCAUUAUGAGGUUUUUGUCGCCACCGCUAAGUCUUUUAAUCUUAAGCAGUACUGCAUACCACAGUACAAAUGAUUCUGUGGCAGGUAUCUUACAUAUCCACAUAGUAAUAUGAUUUUUUUUAAAAGGACUGCACCUGUUUGAACUCUUUAGAUUCAAGACAUCACACUCAUAACGUUGCUCUUCUCAGGCUGACUAUUUUAAAUACGGACACCACUCAUCACUGGUGAAUGACCAUUUUGGAUGUGAGAUAUGGUGUCCACAUCAGUUGUGCAGGGUUUUUCUUAAGGAAGUAACCUCUGCAUUUCAAUAGUCGGUCAUCUGCCUCUGUGCUCUGCCUUCGCAAAGCAAGUUAUGUUGCUACAAAAGAUUAUCUUGCCCAAAGCAGCAAACUCCACCGUUCUUUAGACCAGUGAUGAUGAUAGCCUGUGUUGUAUGAUGUGCACCAUGACACCCAUACUGAUUUUUUUUUUCUGCAUAUGGAUCUGUGUACGUAAAGAGCACACUGCUGUUCUUUCUUCCAUCAUCAGUGCGUGUUAAUCCUCCAGAAAAGCUACGUGCUACACAUGCUCUCUGGUUUGGCACAUCCCAGCUACUGUACCUUGACUUUCUCUUCUGUCUGACAUGUUUGGACUGUGGCAUGGUGUCAAAUGACGCAUUUCGACUAAUGUGAUGAAGCCAGCAUUCGUUGGCCUGAAUGGAUGGAUUUCGCCUUUCGGCCAUCUAAUGCCGCAUAUGUGGACAUCAGGAAAAGCAGCUGCCACCUUUAGUAGCAUCUAAUGGGGAUCCGAAUAACUGCAGAAUAAAGCAGAGGAGAGAACAGGUACUACCAGCCGAACAGGCAGCACCUAUUGGAAGCCCACUUGCUUUCCCUGGACCAAUCAUGCUGUCCCCUACAUCCAUGCCUCCAGGAGGAGCUCCUUUCAUCCACACAGAGUUUGAACGUACAAAGUUAG